rnacentral:rRNA from 1 species
GACGAACGCUGGCGGCGUGCUUAACACAUGCAAGUCGAACGGAAAGGCCCUGCUUUUGUGGGGUGCUCGAGUGGCGAACGGGUGAGUAACACGUGAGUAACCUGCCCUUGACUUUGGGAUAACUUCAGGAAACUGGGUCUAAUACCGGAUAGGAGCUCCUGCUGCAUGGUGGGGGUUGGAAAGUUUCGGCGGUUGGGGAUGGACUCGCGGCUUAUCAGCUUGUUGGUGGGGUAGUGGCUUACCAAGGCUUUGACGGGUAGCCGGCCUGAGAGGGUGACCGUCCACAUUGGGACUGAGAUACGGCCCAGACUCCUACGGGAGGCAGCAGUGGGGAAUAUUGCACAAUGGGCGGAAGCCUGAUGCAGCAACGCCGCGUGCGGGAUGACGGCCUUCGGGUUGUAAACCGCUUUCGCCUGUGACGAAGCGUGAGUGACGGUAAUGGGUAAAGAAGCACCGGCUAACUACGUG